CUCAAUCUCAUCUCACUUUCUUCCCUCUCUUCUCUAAAUAGCCACCACCGCCACCACCAUCACUAGAAGAAAUCUCUUGUAUUCAACCCAUACCCAGUCGUCGUAUAACCCACCACCGUCGUCCCUCGUGCCCAGCCCGUACAUUGUCGUCGUCGAACAGUCCGUCAACCUCCAUUGUGCUCGCCACCACCGUCGAACAUAAAUGGCGAGUCAAGGUUUUUGGAGUUUUGGUAAAUAUAAUCCCAAAAAAAUCCAACACUUUUAGGGUUAAAUGUGAGACGUGGAAUUCGUGUGAAAUUAAAGGCUUCGAAGGCCAAAUAGGGAUGGAGAUUUCUUCCAUUCAAUCAAGUUUUUGAUACAAUGUUACACGAGUUUUGCCAUAAUCUUCAUGGUCCUCACAAUGCCAAUCUCUACAAGCUUUGGGAUGAGCUUUGAAAGGUGUAUCAUUUAUGUUUGUUUUGUUUUCCUAGUCCAAUAUGAUUUUGUAAUAAAUAUCUAAAAAAGACACAAAGAUUCAUAUUCAUGUGUUGUCAUAGGAUCAUGGUUCACUUAUUUGCAACCUUUCAUUUAUUAGCCUUUGAUAAGUGAUGAUGCAUUUGAUUGAUUAACCUCUUUGCCACGGUUUGCCACCUGAAAAAUUUGUUAGUAAUUUAUUGUAUUGCUUAGUAGAUGAUAGUUCAUUGUUAUAAAUCCCAAAUCUCUAAUUCAACUGAUGAGCAUUACGAAUUGUCUAAUUUUAUUAGAUUGUUGUUCUUUAUACAGUAAGCGUAUGAGAACUGAAUGUGGCAUCAUGCCAUUAAUUUCAACAGCCACACACAAAUGCAGAGUUAAUUAAUAUAGUUUUGCUCUUCACGUGAAGUUUUAGACUUCAAGCUUCUGCUAGUGGAGAUGGUUAUUCAUAGAUUUUAACAAACCUAGCCAUUUUGCACCAAGCUAAAUAAGCAAGCCAUUUCAAUAAAUUUUUAACUUUUUUGUUGCACCAGUAAGAAUAAAUCUUUCAAUUUUUUGAGUUUACAUUGUGCAUGUAGAUUCUUUUUUAUGGUGUUGAAGUGGUGCUGAUUUUCAUUUUUUGUGAGUAUUUUCUUUUUCCUCAUUUGGAGAUUUAAUGCUUUAAUUGUUGUAGGAAUAUGAAACUCUAAUUUGUGCACCUUUCAUUUUCCAUUUUGAUUAGCAUUCUAGUUUUUCUUUCUCUACUUUCACUUUUUUGUUUUUUGUGUGAAAGAGCUUUCCAGGAAAUUCUUCCUUCAAGCCUCACUUCAGUUUCAAAACCUCGAUGGAACAACAAGGAAGUGAAAGAACUCAUAGGGCUAGCACUAGAGAAAGUCUUACGCAAAUGGAUGAAUUUUCAUCUGGAAAAAGCUGGCUAUUAGAAACAAGUUACAAGUUUUUCAUCAUAUGUGAAGGUCAUUUUCUACUGGAGGAGGAUGAUAAGUUUCUAGAUAAGGUUUGAGCUACAGUUCAAGAAGAGGAACGUCAAGCCCUUGCUGCAGCUGAUACAGAUGCUGCCAAGGGCGCCAUUGCUACUGCUGAGGUCUCUAGGAAGACUAUUCCAACUUACCUUGAAUCAAGGAAUCCAAUAUUUAAGUCUCUAUGAACUAUGGUUAGUGGAAUGGCGAAUCAUCCCUUCAUUUGGUGCCUUUUCAUUAUGGCUCUUUGGCAUAAAUUUUUCUAACUUUUAACUUGACAAGGCGGAUGUGUGUUUCUAGGAGAAUCAUUGCCGAUCUGUAUAAAAUGAGUAUGUGCUAUUAAUAAUGUAGGAAGGAAUUUGCAUUACGUCAGGGAGAGGUAUUUACAACAUCAAAUACGUAACAUUUAUGAUCGUGAACAUAAGGAAGGUUAGCUUUCACCAUUGAAAUAAUUAGUGCAUUGAAGUUGCUAAGAUGCCAUAUUUUUUUACAACUUUUAUCAAUGGAUGGAACUAUAAAGAUCCUGAAAACUCCUUAGUAAGUAACAUCAUCUCUCAACACUCCUUGUAAAAUCGGUGUAUGCAUUAUUCAUAUGAUUUAGAUUGUGUUGAGAAAUGAUGGAUGAUUAAUAAUGUAAACAAGUUCUUUGGAUUAAAAAGCAUGUAUUCAUCAAUGUUUGACAUUCAAGAAAAUUGCGAACUCUGCUAUAUGUGAUAUUUGCUGAAAUAGCAUUCUUCAAGUAAGCAACCUGAUGCUAAAGCUUAAGCUCAUAAUGACUUAGUUUAAGGUAAAAGGAUCGGACAUGACACAUAACAUAGCUAAGACUUGAGAUUGUUCAUAUUAUCUUUGCGUUUAAUUUUAACUUUUUAGAAUAUUUUCUUUUGGGAGAGUAUGUCUUCUCUUUACGUCUAGUUUUAGGAAUGUUGCAUUUCUUUCACAGCAAUGAGUAGUGGUUUAUUAAUUGAUGAUGAUGUUGGAUAUUGAUUCUGCCCGUUUUUCCUCCCUUAAUUAUUGCAGUUUUUCUUCCCAUAUUUUCUUGUCCAAAGAUCACCAUUUGUGCAUCCAAUUGCAGUUCUUCAGCUCAUUUGGUUUGUGUAGAUUUUGGUUUCCAUUAAUAUUUUAAUUCUGCAUUGCUAAAUGCAAUAUAUCACUCUAUUCAUAAAAAUAAUUGAAGAACUUAUCAAGAAAGCUAUGUUUUCCUCUCCCUUUCUCAUGUCCAAUUGUUGAUAACCUUGACUUUUUCCUUUUCAUUUUCAUGUUUUAUAGCUAUUUACCCAAGGCAUACUGGAAAUGUUUUUCAUGUAAUAGCUAAUAGGAUGCUAUAUUUAUUAUUUAUUCACAAAGUUCAUUUGUUGUUUGCAGUCUGUUGCCACAUUUUUCAGUCAGGUUAUGGUAGCAAUAGGAGAAAAUACCGCGGGCCCUGGUGUGGUGUUUUUUUUUAAGAUUUAAAAAAAAAAAUCUUUGUGAUAAUGUGGUUUGCUUAGAACUUUUUUUUUCAAAUAAGCUGGAUUCUGUUUUUUACGUUUUUGUUUUGUUUGUGAUAUAUGUACUGAAUUAUGCAGGUUUUGGUUGCGAGGACUUGAAAUGGUAUAUUUGUAUAUAUUUUUUACUUUAGUAGAGGUAGCUUGACAUUGAGUUUAGGGAAUCUGUUAAUGAACAGAGACAGAGAAUGAUUGAAGUCAUAUCGGGUUGAAAGCUAAGCAACUGUGUAGAUAGCCAGACGACCGUUGAAGGUUGAAGACUGAGAAGGUAUUUAGGAUUUCUUAUUUAAAUCUUGUAUUAGGAUCUU